GACGAACGCUGGCGGCGUGCCUAAUACAUGCAAGUCGAGCGGACAGAAGGGAGCUUGCUCCCGGAAGUUAGCGGCGGACGGGUGAGUAACACGUGGGCAACCUACCCUGUAGAUCGGGAUAACAUCGAGAAAUCGGUGCUAAUACCGGAUAAUCAUUUGAAGUGCAUGCUUCGAAUGUAAAAGAUGGCUCCGGCUAUCACUACGGGAUGGGCCCGCGGCGCAUUAGCUAGUUGGUAAGGUAAUGGCUUACCAAGGCAACGAUGCGUAGCCGACCUGAGAGGGUUAUCGGCCACACUGGGACUGGGCACCGGCCCAGACUCCGACGGGAGGCAGCAGUAGGGAAUCUUCCGCAAUGGACGAAAGUCUGACGGAGCAACGCCGCGUGAGUGAUGAAGGUUUUCGGAUCGUAAAGCUCUGUUGUUAGGGAAGAACAAGUGCCGUUUGAAUAAGGCGGCACCUUGACGGUACCUAACCAGAAAGCCACGGCUAACUACGUGCCAGCCGCCGCCGUAAAAC
rnacentral:rRNA from 1 species